CUUUUUCUUCCCCUCUGCGAAUUUCGUGCAUUCCGCUCCCCUCUCUUCUCGUUGUAGCUUUAUUAACUAGUUUAAAAUCACACCACACCCCCCCACACCCAAAAUAAUAAUAAUAAUAAUAAUAAUAAUUUAUUUUAUUCCUUUUUACAAGUUUUUAUUUUCGAUCUACUCGUUUGUUUUUAUUCCUACGAAUCCUUUUUGUUUUUGCUGAGGUAAAGAAAGGCGAAAUGGAUUCACAGCCAAAAAAUGUUGGAAUUCUAGCCAUGGAAAUUUACUUCUCUCCCACUUACAUCCAGCAGGUAAAAUCUUGUUUUAC
rnacentral:lncRNA from 1 species